rnacentral:rRNA from 1 species
UAAGCUUAGAAGGUUGGUUUAGUAAGAUAUCAGUUUUUGUGAUAUUAGUUUAUUAGUAGAAACUAGAGAAAAAAGUUUGGUAGAAUCCUAGUACUGUGAGGGAAUAGUAUAUUAAUAUAAUAAUAAGUAGUGAUUAAAACAUGUACCUUUUGCAUCAUGGCCUGGUAAGAUAGAAGAAUCAAACAGAUGCUUCUCGAAGCCCGACGAGCGUCCUUUUUGUUACAUUUAGUGUAAAACCCUGCUUAUGUGGCACUAUGAGGGGGAAAUAGAAAGGAAGUGUUGAAAUUUUAUUCGUGUAGGGGGAUAGCUAGUUUUUUCAUAAAUACAUGUUAGUGUAUCGGUUGUAUUUAUAACUAAGUCUUUUGAUUUUGUACUACGUGAGAGCGGGCCUGGUUAAUAUAUUUCCGUCAGGCAUUGGAGACUAAGCUCUGAUGUUAGUAAGUUUUGCUAUAAACAUUUAUUUUAGAGGGGGGCAGCCUAAAAUUAGCUAUCCUAUUUUCCGCUUGUUAUAAAUGACUCCUAUUUAAUGCAAUUGUAAGAUAAAUUUAAGAAGCUAUAUAAUUGAUGAAAAUACAUACAAAAAUAAAAUAGUUUGAAAAUAAUGCUAGGAUGAGUAUCACGUGUAGUUAAAAAAAUAGAAGUUGAUCAUCUGUUUAGCAAGAAGAAGACUUUAAAUACAGUAAUAAAAUAUGUAUAUUUAGAAAAGGAAUUCGGCAAAUGAAACCUCCGCCUGUUUAACAAAAACAUGGCUCUUUGCUUUGGCUAUAAAGAGUCUGACCUGCUCUAUGAUUUUAAUUAAAUGGCCGCGGUACCCUGACCGUGCAAAGGUAGCAUAAUCACUUGCCUUUUAAUUGGAGGCUGGUAUGAAUGGUUGGACGGGAGGUUGGCUGUCUCUACUAAAUUUUACGAGAAUUCAAUUUAUAGGUACAAAAGCCUAUAUUCUAUUAAAAGACGAGAAGACCCUAGCGAGCUUUAUUCUAGCAGUGAAAUCAUUGUUCACAGCAGAUUUUGGUUGGGGCGACUGAGGAUAAAAAAGCAUCCUUGAUUUAUAAUAAAAUGGUGGUUACAGAUCCAGCACAUGUUGAGCGACAGGUGAGCUACCGUAGGGAUAACAGCGUAAUCUUUUUAGAGAGUUCUAAUCGAAAAGAGGGUUUGCGACCUCGAUGUUGGACUAGGAUAUCCUAAGGGUGCAGAAGCUUUUAAGGGUUGGUCUGUUCGACCACUAAAAUCCU